UGGGGAAUAUUGCACAAUGGAGGGAACUCUGAUGCAGCGACGCCGCGUGAACGAAGAAGGCUUUCGAGUCGUAAAGUUCUUUUAUAUGGGAAGAUAAUGACGGUACCAUAAGAAAAAGCCCCGGCUAACUACGUGCCAGCAGCCGCGGUAAUACGUAGGGGGCUAGCGUUGUCCGGAAUCACUGGGCGUAAAGGGUUCGCAGGCGGAAAUGCAAGUCAGGUGUAAAAGGCAGUAGCUUAACUACUGUAAGCAUUUGAAACUGCAUAUCUUGAGAAGAGUAGAGGUAAGUGGAAUUUUUAGUGUGGCGGUGAAAUGCGUAGAUAUUAAAAAGAAUACCGGUGGCGAAGGCGACUUACAGGGCUCAUUCUGACGCUGAGGAACGAAAGCGUGGGUAGCAAACAGG
rnacentral:rRNA from 1 species